rnacentral:lncRNA from 1 species
GGCUUUGCUGCGGGGCCUGUGGGACUGGGCCGGGCUCUGGGGGGAGAGGGGGGACAUCCCACAUCUGCAGGCUUCGCUGCGGGGACUGCAGGGCAGGGGCGCCGGAGGCCCUCGGGUGGGGGGCACAUCCCAGAUCUGCAGCUUUCGCUGCGGGAACUUCAGGGCCAGGCCGGGGGCCCCGGGGGGGGGGGGCACAUCCCGGACCUGCAGCCUUCACUGCGGGGACUGCGGGGCGGGGGCGCCGGGGACCCUCGGGUUGGGGGGAGGCACAUCCCAGAUCUGCAGCCUUCGCCGCCCCGGGAGCUCCGUCACAGCACAGCCAUCCGGUGGGCAGCUUUUCUGGCCAUAGCACUACUUUCUUGCCCUCCACUACCUCCCCCCCCCCCCCUCAUUUGUUCCCGUUUUUUGUCUCCAGGGGCCGCAGCCCUGUUUUCCCAGCUGCCUACCUUAAGGACUUUCACCCUUGCUUGUUCCACAGGCUUCUCAGCCUUAAAGGUGCCUGAAAGAGACCUUUCCACCCCAAACCUGCUUUGCUUGUUUCAUCAAGGUCACCUCUGGGCAGCCAGCACCCCCCUAAGCCUAAAGUCACCUAGACUCCGCCCCCCCCCUAUGGAUUUCCUGGUCCUCCAGCCUCCCCUUGACAUUGACAUUCUAAUAUUAGAGGAUGAUCCCAGGUUCCCUGCCGCCAGCCCAGCUGCACGGGUGGCAUGGGACCCCUCACGGAACAAACGGCCUCGCUGCCUGGAACCUUCCAAAGAACCACUACCAGCCCCCUCUAGAGAGCAAGGGUGACACAGGGCCCAGCCUACUGUGGUUUCUGGCCUGGGCUCUGGGCUUGUGUGGUUAAGGGCAGGGAGGCAAGACAAUGAAAGCAAAUCCAGACAGCCUAAUGGUCAACCCAGGGGUUGAGCUAUGUAGAGAAAUCCUCCAGAAGGUAAGGAGGAGGAAGCUGGGAAAGCAGAUGGAGGAGGAAAAACAAACGAACAAAACCUAGCGCCCCUGAGGGGUGGGGAAAGAAGUCCCUCUGACAAAGGAAUGAAUUUUU